rnacentral:rRNA from 1 species
UACGGGAGGCAGCAGUGGGGAAUAUUGCACAAUGGGCGCAAGCCUGAUGCAGCCAUGCCGCGUGUAUGAAGAAGGCCUUCGGGUUGUAAAGUACUUUCAGUCGUGAGGAAGGUGUUAAGGUUAAUAACCUUAGCAAUUGACGUUAGCGACAGAAGAAGCACCGGCUAACUCCGUGCCAGCAGCCGCGGUAAUACGGAGGGUGCGAGCGUUAAUCGGAAUUACUGGGCGUAAAGGGCACGCAGGCGGUUAAUUAAGUUGGAUGUGAAAUCCCCGGGCUUAACCUGGGAAUGGCAUUCAAGACUGGUUAGCUAGAGUCUUGUAGAGGGGGUAGAAUUCCAUGUGUAGCGGUGAAAUGCGUAGAGAUGUGGAGGAAUACCGGUGGCGAAGGCGGCCCCUGGACAAAGACUGACGCUCAUGUGCGAAAGCGUGGGGAGCGAACAGGGAUUAGAUACC